AAAAUACAGAUUUAGACAUUAAUUCAUCUUGUUUUUCCUAAAAUAGGUAAUGAAGUAAACUUUCCUCAUUCAGUGAGCAAUGAAGACAGCGAGCACAACAGCAAUUCAAAAUCUGCAAGCAAUGAAGUGAAAGGGAAUAACGGACGAAGCAAUGAAAACAAUGGUGACUCUAAUUCAGCAAGUUAUCAAGUAAAAGGGAAGUAUUAUUGGAGGAUUGAUGACAACGGGCAAAAUGGUGACUCUAAUUCUGCAAGUCAUGAAACAAAAGGACAUUAUUCACAAAGGUCCUCUGAAGAAAAUGAACAGAAUGGACAUUCCAAUUCAGGU